rnacentral:rRNA from 1 species
GACGAACGCUGGCGGCGUGCUUAACACAUGCAAGUCGAACGGAAAGGCCCUGCUUUUGUGGGGUGCUCGAGUGGCGAACGGGUGAGUAACACGUGAGUAACCUGCCCUUGACUUUGGGAUAACUUCAGGAAACUGGGGCUAAUACCGGAUAGGAGCUCCUGCUGCAUGGUGGGGGUUGGAAAGUUUCGGCGGUUGGGGAUGGACUCGCGGCUUAUCAGCUUGUUGGUGGGGUAGUGGCUUACCAAGGCUUUGACGGGUAGCCGGCCUGAGAGGGUGACCGGCCACAUUGGGACUGGGAUACGGCCCAGACUCCUACGGGAGGCAGCAGUGGGGAAUAUUGCACAAUGGGAGGAAGCCUGAUGCAGCAACGCCGCGUGCGGGAUGACGGCCUUCGGGUUGUAAACCGCUUUCGCCUGUGACGAAGCGUGAGUGACGGUAAUGGGUAAAGAAGCACCGGCUAGCUACGUG